GACGAACGCUGGCGGCGUGCUUAACACAUGCAAGUCGAGCGAUGAAGUUUCUUCGGAAAUGGAUUAGCGGCGAACGGGUGAGGAACACGUGAAGAAUCUGCCCUCCACUUUGGGAUAACACAGGGAAACCUGUGCUAAUACCGAAUAUUGAAACAUAAGUGGCAUCACUGAGUUUUGAAAGAAUUUCGGUGGAGGAUGACUUCGCGGCCUAUCAGCUAGUUGGUGAGGUAAUGGCUCACCAAGGCAACGACGGGUAGCCGGCCUGAGAGGGCGACCGGCCACACUGGGACUGAGACACGGCCCAGACUCCUACGGGAGGCAGCAGUGGGGAAUAUUGGGCAAUGGAGGAAACUCUGACCCAGCGACGCCGCGUGCGGGAUGGAGGCCUC
rnacentral:rRNA from 1 species